UGGGGAAUAUUGGACAAUGGGCGGAAGCCUGAUCCAGCAACGCCGCGUGAGGGAUGACGGCCUUCGGGUUGUAAACCUCUUUCAGUACCGACGAAGCGAAAGUGACGGUAGGUACAGAAGAAGGACCGGCCAACUACGUGCCAGCAGCCGCGGUAAUACGUAGGGUCCGAGCGUUGUCCGGAAUUAUUGGGCGUAAAGGGCUCGUAGGCGGUUUGUCGCGUCGGGAGUGAAAACAGCGGGCUUAACUCGUUGCUUGCUUUCGAUACGGGCAGACUAGGGGUAUGCAAGGGAGAAUGGAAUUCCUGGUGUAGCGGUGAAAUGCGCAGAUAUCAGGAGGAACACCGGUGGCGAAGGCGGUUCUCUGGGCAUUACCUGACGCUGAGGAGCGAAAGUGUGGGGAGCGAACAGGAUUAGAUACCCUGGUAGUCCACACCGUAAAACGUUGGGCGCUAGGUGUGGGGUCCUUUCCACGGAUUCCGUGCCGUAGCUAACGCAUUAAGCGCCCCGCCUGGGGGAGUACGGCCGCAAGGC
rnacentral:rRNA from 1 species